AGGACAGUCGGUGUACCACAUACACAUACACGUGAUGAGUGGGCGACAGAUGGGCUGGCCCCCGGGAUAAUUACCCAUAAUGCCUGUGUACCCAUGUUCCUGACUGUAAAUACUAUUUACAUAUUGCAGACAUUUGAGGACCGUGGAUUGUUCAAUGUAAAAUUUUGAUGCAAAGCUUACAGUAUAAUAACUGGUUUCUUCAGUAAAAGUGUAAAAA
rnacentral:misc_RNA from 1 species